CUUAGAGAUCUGAAAGGUUUUUAUCUACUUCUAAUUAUACCACUGAUUACCCCAAAAGUGUUUAAAAAUGUAUUUAUAUGCAUCUUUAUUAUGGUAAAAAUGAAGGAUAAAUAUUUGAAUUCCUCUUUCUUGCCACUGCAGCAUGAGGAACUGAGUGUGUUUUUCCUUAUUCUAAUUUCGCCUUAUCCUCAUUAUUCCAGCUUUUGUUAAUAUCUUGGCAUUUUUCUUUUUAAAAUUAUAAUUUAAAAAUUACUGUUUAUACAGUGUCUAUUUUCUCUUUCAGCAAUUAUUUUAACACUUGAAUUUAGUUUUUGUUCCCAUUGUUAUAUGAGCCACUUAGACUUGACAUUAUAGUUUCAAUGUUCAUUGGAAGGCUUAUUAAAAGCUUACUUUCUGUAUUGGGUUCUUAAUUUUUAUUCAUAUUUUACUUAGCUGGAGAAUAACUUCAAGUAAUUUUUUAAAAAUAAGGACCUGUGAGUGGUUUAUAUUCUGUGACAGUGUACCUCUGAGAAUGACUUUUUGUUUUCUUUAUACAUAUGAGUAACAAAUUAUUUGAGAGUCAAAUUAUUUAGUCAAAAAACUUUUUCUAGGGCCAGCCCAAUGGUGUAGUGGUUGGGUUUGCAUGCUCUGCCUCAGCAACCCAGGGUUUAUGGGUUCAGAUCAUGAGUGUGGACCAAUAUACCACUCAUUAAGCCAUGCUGUGGCAGCAUCCCACAUACAAAAUAGAGAAAGACUGGCACAGAUGUUAGCUCAGUGCCAAUCUUCCUCACCAAAAAUAACCCACCCAUUUUUCUCCUAAAAACUCUGUUGGUGUUGCUUCACAGUUCUCUGACAUUUAGCAAUAGAGAGGACACUCUGUUGCUUUUUGUACAUAAUUUGUGCAAUUUUUUUCCUAUAUCCUUAUAAUUCAACAGUAUUAUAGGAGAUAUCUUAGUGUGGGUCUCUUUUUUUUUUUUAUCUUGCCUGAUAAUUUAAAUACAAGUCUUUGCAUAUCACUUUGGUUCCAGUUGUAGUGAUUUCUUCUGUAGGUAUACCUAUAAUUCUCAUGGGUGACUUAUCUUCUGUGUCUUUUAUUUCUUUCUUGUCUAUCAUCUUUUGAAUACCAUUGUCCUUUUCUUCCACAUUCUUGGAAAGCUGCUCAGGUUUGCCCUUCAUCAGCAAAGAUGGUGCUUCCAUGAACAGUGCUAAACCUCUCCUUUUACUUUCAGUGCAAAUUUUAAUUCUGCUGCUACCAUUUUGCUCUCUGCAGUCCUUAUCUCCCACAACCCAUUUUCAUCUCAUGAUAUUUUUUAAUCUCAUUAUUUCCAUUUUCUUUCUCCACAGAGACAUGUCUGCUUGCCAUGGUUUCUGAUUUCUGAUGGAUACAGAGGGAGCUGUUGCACCAAUGUAAUUUCCAGGGACACUUUUUUCCUGAUGGGGCAGCAAGAGCUUUUGGGGGCCAUACAAGUGUAAGACAAUGAAACAAGGAAGAAUUCUUUGGCUUGCCUCUCUCCUUCCCUUCCCCAGGAAGCAAAGCCAGCUGGUGCAGGAGUCUGAGGCAUCAACUAUAAAAGUUCUACUGGCUUCUGCUUGUCUGCAAAGCAUUCUGGUCUUUGACGAAAAGGUGCAUUAAUUAGGCCUGCUCCCGGCACUCCCUACCCCAUGCAGCAUAGUUCCUCCUACAGCGCUCCCUGCCCACUCCUCUGGGGAGGAGCUGGCCAGGAGAAGGAACUUCAAUUUCGCAGUCAGUUUCUAGCCAAGUCCUCCUUGAAGAGCUACAGAGUCCUCUGUGCACCCGGGGAAAGGUGAAGGUUAGAGACCACCCUACCAAUAGCAAAUGCAGCCUGGGAGGUGCCUUUGGCUUUUCAAAGGCCCUGUAAGGGCUGCAUGCAGCUUGCAUGGUUGAAAAGGCAUCUUUAUUUCUUAAAAUUGAGAGCUACUGUUUUUGGAAUUGCUAGAUUCCCAUUGUAGUAAAAGACUUUUCUUCCAUUUUGGUUUCAACCAUCACAAAAGAUAGGAAUCUCAAGAAGAUUGUAGGAAGACAGAGCAGAAAGUGACAUGGGAGGGGUGUACUGUCACUCUGUAAGAGAUUCCCAAAGACAGAAAGUAGAACCAGUGCCUGAAGGGUUUUGCUGAGCCAUUAUGUUUAAGGCUUUUCUGACACUAUUACAAGUGUACUUAUGAAAACACUUUUUAUUGAUCUUAUAGUCCUUUUAAAUUUUUUAAAAAUCAAAGUUAUACAUGUAUGUAGUUUAAAAAGCCAAUUAGUGCUAUGAGGUUUAUAAUGAAAAUCAGCAUUUUCUGCCUCACCUUCCCAAUCUCUUCUCACUCCUGGUUCAACUUUUAGCCAUUCUUAGUUCUUUUCAAAGGUCUUUCACAUUUUUGGAGACUGAGGAGUCUAUUUAUUUUCUUUUUGUUUGUUUUGUUUUGUUUUGUUUUGAGGAGGAUCAGCCGUGAGCUAACAUCUGCUGCCAAUCUUCCUCUUUUUUUUUUGCUGAGGAAGACUGGCCCUGAGCUAACAUCCACGCCCAUCUUCCUCCACUUUAUAUGUGGGACGCAUACCACAGCAUGGCUUGCCAAGUGGUGCCAUGUCCACACCCGGGAUCCAAACCAGCGAACCCCAGGCUGCCGAAGCGGAAGCAAAUUGCUGUGUUGGAGAGGACUCAUGGCAAGGAACAAGGGUGGUCUCUUACCAACAGCCGAUGAAGAACUGAAGCCUUUAGUCCCACUGAAGGCGUGAGGAACUGAAUCCUGCAACAAUCACAGGAGUGAGGCCGGAAGGAGACCUUUACCCAGUCAGGCUACGAGAUGAAGGCAGCCCUGUUUGUCGCCUUGACUGCAGCCUUGUCAGACACCCUGAGCCAGAGGACUCAACUAAGGUGCAUCUGGAUUCCUGACCCACAGAAACUGUGGGAUAAUAAACGUUUGUUGUUUUAAGCCACUAA
ensembl:lncRNA